rnacentral:rRNA from 1 species
AUUGAACGCUGGCGGCAGGCUUAACACAUGCAGGUCGAGCGGAGAUGAGGUGCUUGCACCUUAUCUUAGCGGCGGACGGGUGAGUAAUGCUUAGGAAUCUGCCUAUUAGUGGGGGACAACAUUCCGAAAGGAAUGCUAAUACCGCAUACGCCCUACGGGGGAAAGCAGGGGAUCUUCGGACCUUGCGCUAAUAGAUGAGCCUAAGUCGGAUUAGCUAGUUGGUGGGGUAAAGGCCUACCAAGGCGACGAUCUGUAGCGGGUCUGAGAGGAUGGUCCGCCACGAUGGGACGGAGACACGGCCCAGACUCCUUCGGGAGGCAGCAGUGGGGAAUAUUGGACAAUGGGCGGAAGCCUGAUCAAGCCAUGCCGCGUGUGUGAAGAAGGCCUUUUGGUUGUAAAGCACUUUAAGCGAGGAGGAGGCUACCUGGAUUAAUACUCUAGGAUAGUGGACGUUACUCGCAGAAUAAGCACCGGCUAACUCUGUGCCAGCCGCCGCCGUAAUAC